rnacentral:rRNA from 1 species
UACGUAGGGGGCAAGCGUUGUCCGGAAUCAUUGGGCGUAAAGCGCGUGUAGGCGGCUCGAUAAGUCCGCUCUGAAAGCCCGGGGCUCAACCCCGGGAGGCGGGCGGAAACUGUCGGGCUAGAGUCCGGAAGAGGCGAGUGGAAUUCCCGGUGUAGCGGUGAAAUGCGCAGAUAUCGGGAGGAACACCAAUGGCGAAGGCAGCUCGCUGGGACGUGACUGACGCUGAGGAGCGAAAGCGUGGGGAGCGAACAGG